CUGCACUAUGGAUGGGCUACUCGCCUACUCAUAUGUCCUCCGCCUCAGGAAAUGCUCCUCGGUUAUGAAUGCUCCUCCGCAGCGAACGCUCCCCCGCCUCUGAAUGCUACCUUUGAAGGUAAAUCGUAACACAAGUUUCGUAUGCUGACCCCCGGGGGGGUCCUUGCGGUACAAACCCGAUUGGUGUGAAAAAAAAAAACUACAAGGUCUCCGUUGGUGAACCAGCGGAGGGAUCAUUA
rnacentral:rRNA from 1 species